rnacentral:rRNA from 1 species
GGGCACGUCUGCCUGGGCGUCAAGCGUUGCGUCGCUCCGUGCCAACUUCGAUCUCGCCAAUGGGCGUAUCGGGAGAGGCGCGGAUGCGGAGAGUGGCUCGUCGUGCCCAUCGGCGCGGCGGGCUGAAGAGCGGGUUAUCGUCUUCUCAUUUUGGCCACGAACAACAAUGGGUGGAUGAAAGCUGUGAGCAAGUCCUAUGUUGUCUCGUGCUGCCCCGAGCAAAAGACUAUAUAUAUAUACCUCUGAGGCGAGAUCCCAACCCAUGCGCCGAUCCACAUGCGGCGGCUUGGAAUGCGACCCCAGGAUGGGCGAGGCCACCCGCCGAGUUUAAGCAUAUCAAUAAGCGGAGGAGAAGAAACUUACGAGGAUUCCCCUAGUAACGGCGAGCGAACCGGGAUAGGCCCAGCAUGGGAAUCGGGCUGCAGUGCAGCAGCUCGAAUUGUA